CAUUACAAGAACGCCCGGGCUUCGGCCUGGUUAUUCAUAACCCUUUGUUGUCCGACUCUGUUGCCUCCGGGGCGACCCUGCCUUCGGGCGGGGGCUCCGGGUGGACACUUCAAACUCUUGCGUAACUUUGCAGUCUGAGUAAACUUAAUUAAUAAAUUAAAACUUUUAACAACGGAUCUCUUGGUUCUGGCAUCGAUGAAGAACGCAGCGAAAUGCGAUAAGUAAUGUGAAUUGCAGAAUUCAGUGAAUCAUCGAAUCUUUGAACGCACAUUGCGCCCCCUGGUAUUCCGGGGGGCAUGCCUGUUCGAGCGUCAUUUCACCACUCAAGCCUCGCUUGGUAUUGGGCAACGCGGUCCGCCGCGUGCCUCAAAUCGUCCGGCUGGGUCUUCUGUCCCCUAAGCGUUGUGGAAACUAUUCGCUAAAGGGUGUUCGGGAGGCUACGCCGUAAAACAACCCCAUUUCUAAGGUUGACCUCGGAUCAGGUAGGGAUA
rnacentral:misc_RNA from 1 species